ACGUAGGGUGCGAGCGUUAAUCGGAAUUACUGGGCGUAAAGCGUGCGCAGGCGGUUCGCUAAGACAGGUGUGAAAUCCCCGGGCUUAACCUGGGAAUGGCGCUGGAGACUGGCGGGCUGGAAUACGGCAGAGGGGAGUGGAAUUCCACGUGUAGGAGUGAAAUGCGUAGAGAUGAGGAGGAACACCGAUGGCGAAGGCAGCUACCUGGGCCGAUACUGACGCU
rnacentral:rRNA from 1 species